CUUUGACAACUCUAGAGAUAGAGUCUUCCCCUUCGGGGGACAAAGUGACAGGUGGUGCAUGGUUGUCGUCAGCUCGUGUCGUGAGAUGUUGGGUUAAGUCCCGCAACGAGCGCAACCCUUAAGCUUAGUUGCCAGCAUUAAGUUGGGCACUCUAAGUUGACUGCCGGUGACAAACCGGAGGAAGGUGGGGGUGACGUCAAAUCAUCAUGCCCCUUAUGAUUUGGGCUACACACGUGCUACAAUGGACAAUACAAAGGGCAGCUAAACCGCGAGGUCAUGCAAAUCCCAUAAAGUUGUUCUCAGUUCGGAUUGUAGUCUGCAACUCGACUACAUGAAGCUGGAAUCGCUAGUAAUCGUAGAUCAGCAUGCUACGGUGAAUACGUUCCCGGGUCUUGUACACACCGCCCGUCACACCACGAGAGUCUGUAACACCCGAAGCCGGUGGAGUAACCAUUUAUGGAGCUAGCCGUCGAAGGUGGGACAAAUGAUUGGGGUGAAGUCGUAACAAGGUAACCGUAUCGGAAGGUGC
rnacentral:rRNA from 1 species